ACUUUCAACAACGGAUCUCUUGGUUCUGGCAUCGAUGAAGAACGCAGCAAAAUGCGAUAAGUAAUGUGAAUUGCAGAAUUCAGUGAAUCAUCGAAUCUUUGAACGCACAUUGCGCCCGCCAGUAUGCUGGCGGGCAUGCCUGUUCGAGCGUCAUUUCA
rnacentral:rRNA from 1 species